GACGAACGCUGGCGGCGGGCUUAACACAUGCAAGUCGAACGGUGAAGCGCCUUCCUUUUUUGUGGGUGUGGAGGAGGGGCGAACGGGUGAGUAACACGUGAGUAACCUGCCCCCUUCUGCUGGAUAACCGCAUGAAAGUGUGGCUAAUACGGGAUAUUCUGGGUCUGUCGCAUGAGGGGUCUGGGAAAGAUAUUGUUUCGGUGGGGGAUGGGCUCGCGGCCUAUCAGCUUGUUGGUGGGGUGAUGGCCUACCAAGGCGGUGACGGGUAGCCGGCCUGAGAUGGUCGACCGCCACACUAGGGCUGAGACGCGCACCAGACUCCGACGGGAGGCAGCAGUGGGGAAUAUAGCACAAUGGGAGGAAGGCUGAUGCAGCGCCGCCGCGUGAGGGAUGGAGGCCUGCGGGUUGAGAACCUCUUUCGCCAGUGAAGCAGGCAUGCCUCGUUUGUGGGUGGGUUGACGGUAGCUGGAGAAGAAGCGCCGGCUAACUACGUG
rnacentral:rRNA from 1 species